rnacentral:rRNA from 15 species
CGUGCCAGCAGCCGCGGUAAUACGGAGGGGGCUAGCGUUGUUCGGAAUUACUGGGCGUAAAGCGCUCGUAGGCGGAUUGGUCAGUCAGAGGUGAAAGCCCAGGGCUCAACCUUGGAAUUGCCUUUGAUACUGCCAGUCUUGAGUUCGGGAGAGGUGAGCGGAAUUCCGAGUGUAGAGGUGAAAUUCGUAGAUAUUCGGAGGAACACCAGUGGCGAAGGCGGCUCACUGGCUCGAUACUGACGCUGAGGUGCGAAAGCGUGGGGAGCAAACAGGAUUAGAUACCCUGGUAGUCCACGCUGUAAACGAUGAGAACUUGAUGUUGGGAUGCUUAGCAUUUCAGUGUCGAAGCUAACGCGAUAAGUUCUCCGCCUGGGGAGUACGGCCGCAAGGUUAAAACUCAAAUGAAUUGACGGGGGCCCGCACAAGCGGUGGAGCAUGUGGUUUAAUUCGAUUCAACGCGAAGAACCUUACCAGGACUUUUAUCUAUUUAAUUUUAAGAAAUUAAAAUUUAGUGAAGUAGAAAUAGGUGGUGCAUGGCUGUCGCCAGCUCGUGUCGUGAGAUGUUGGGUUAAUUCCCUUAACGAGCGCAACCCUUGUUUGGUCAGUUGUUAUGGAUUUCUGAGAAGACUGCCGAUGAGAAAUCGGAGGAAGGUAAGGAUGACGUCAAGUCAGUAUGCCCCGUAUGUCCUGGGCUACACACGUGCUACAAUGGUUAAGACAAAGAGCCGCUUACUUGUAAAAGAUGAAGAAGCCAAAGUAAGUAAAAUUAUUUUAGUAAGAGCAAAUCUCCAAACUUAAUCGAAGUUCGGAUUGUAGGCUGCAACUCGCCUACAUGAAGUUGGAAUCGCUAGUAAUCGCUGGUCAGCAGUACAGCGGUGAAUUCGUCCCUGGGCCUUGUACACACCGCCCGUCACACCAUGGAAGUUGGUCAGGCUGGAAACUAAUAUUAAAUUAGUAGUUAAAGUGGGGCGAGCGACUGGGGUGAAGUCGAAACAAGGUAGCCGUACUGGAAGGUGCGGCUGGAUCAUCUA